AAAGUGUUAUUUGACUGGAGUGAGGUCUCAUGUCUGCUUAUGCGGUGGCUCGCUGCUCAGAACAGGGAGGAAGAGGGUAAUCUGGAAGAGUUUCCUGACCUACUCUGCUGCUGUGAUUAAACAACCACCAGGAAAUUUUGAUGACACUGUUCUCCUGAGCUCCUCCCUUUCCUCGGGGAAGAAAAGCAUUGAAACUACAAAAAUAAAGUGUUAUUUGGCUGGAGUGAGGUCUCAUGUCUGCUUAUGCGGUGGCUCGCUGCUCAGAACAGGGAACCAUUGGAGAUACUCAUUACUCUUUGAAGGCUUACAGUGGAAUGAAUUCAAAUACGACUUAUUUGAGGAAUUGAAGUUGACUUUAUGGAGCUGAUAAGAAUCUUCUUGGAGAAAAAAAGACUGGGUAUAUUUUCAAUAUGCUUUCCUUUUAAGGUCCCUCACCUGUGGAAAGUAAAGAAUGUCACUUUCUGACAGGCUCAGGAACCUCAAGUUAUGUAGGGAUCUCAAGAAGAUGGGGGAAUUCACCCAGUUCAUACAGGUGAAAUUGCUGUUGCAAAGAUUAUGAAUAUGAGAGAAGUCCAGCAUGGCUGACUUCAUCUCGUGUCUGGCCUCAGGCUGGCUGCCCUUGCUCACUCUUGGGCAUAGGCCAAGCUAGCCAUGGGAGGAAUUUAGUUUAUAGUUUAACUUUGAAGCACGGAUGAUAAUAGUCUCUCCCUAAAAUGAACCCCUUCCUUGCUCAGGGACUGAAACUACCUUUGUAUGACAAAUGAAAGCCCACAAGAUUAAGAUUAUGAGAGGGGCCUGAAUUCUGCUAAAAUGCAGGUGUAGCUGACUGAUAACAAGUCAUUGUCCCACAGCUUGCCUUUCUAUAAUCUCUUGCUUCUCAGGAGUCACAUGGCCAGAGGUCCUGAGAUUUCCAGUCCUGUGACCCCCACCCAGAGAUGGACUUAGUGCAUGAGGACCAUUUUCCACACCCCUAUGAUUUCAUCCUCAAACAAUCAGCAGCAACCAUUCCCUAGCCCCCUGCCUUCCAAAUUAUCCAUAAAAAUCCUAGCCUCUGAGUUAUUAGGGAGAUUGAUUAAUAAUCCCAGUCCUACCCCUUGGGUUGCUCUGAUUUAAUUAAACCUUCUCUACUGCAAUACCACGGACUCAGUAAAUUGGUUUUGUCUGUGCAAUGGGCAAGAAGAACAUGUUGCAUGGUUAUACAGGUACUACAAGCACAGUCUGAUGGCAAAUUAUUGGUUUUGCUUCCUGCCCUUGAUGUUUCUAAACAUCUAGUCCAAAAUUACUUGUGAAAGGUCCAGCAAAGCCAAUUUUAAAAGAGGCUAUAUGGCCAAUCACUAUUCUUUCUACACAUUAUUGCAAAUAAUCAGGCCACGGCUGGGCACGGUGGCUCAUGCCUGCAAUCCCAGCACUUUGGGAGGCUGAGGCAGGAUCACCUGAAAUCAGGAGUUCAAGACCAGCCUAGGCAACAUGAUAAAACCCUGUCUCUACUAAAAAUACAAAAUUAGCCAGGCAUGGUGGCAUGCACCUGUAAUCCCAGCUACUUGGGAGACUGAGGGAGGAGAAUCACUUGAACCUGGGAGGCAGAGAUUGCAGUGAGCUGAGAUCACACCACUGCACUCCAGCCUGGGCAAUAGAGUGAGACUUUGUCUCAAAUAAUAAUAAUAAUAAUCAGACCAAGUAUAAUGAAAUUAAAAUUUAUUUUGCAAAUAAAUUGGUCCUACUACAAUUUAUCCUUCAUAGAAAUGUGGAAACUGAAGAUAAAAAAAAUUAGGUUUCAGAAGAAAACUAUACUACACCUGUUAUUAGAUUCUAGCCCUAAACAUUGUUUUUGAGGUUUUUAUUAUUUACCUGCAAUUUGGUCUAAAUUCUGAAUUAUUUCCUGACUACAAGUAUCCAAGGAAUAAAUGGGUUUUCUUUUUCUUUAUGAUAGUUUUAGUUGGCUUCUAAUGCAACAACAAUUUUUAUUGUAAUCCUGUGUGCAUUCUAUUCCUACUAUUCAAAUUAUUAAUGUUAUAGAUCUUUCAUUGUAGUACUUCUGAAUUAACCAAAAUCACAGUAUUCUGAAGAUGAUUCUACAAAGCCUGCUGUUUCUACAAAGGCUGCUGAUGAUUUCUACAAAGCCUGCUGUAGUGUUGCUGUGGCCUCUGCUUAAAAAAGUAGAAAACACAUUGAUGCAGCAUGUUCACCCCAACCUCCCUGCCUAAAGGCUCAGGGACCAUCUUGGAAGAGGAAGGCGCGUGAGAUUGUAAGAGCCGAAUUAGGGGGAUGGAGUGUGGAGAAUAAGGACACUUCAUCUUGGAUGCUCACCUGCCAAAUUGACUUCUGAUGAAAGCCAGCUCCAGAAAUGUGCCUACAGUUACUACUUUCACCUAAACCCUGCCCUUAGUCAAAUCCUUCUCUUCUUCUAAGCAAUCAACUUCAAUUCCUUGUAUAACCCACAGUAUAAAAGGGCUUUUAUACCAUUCUAUCCUAUUGCAUGUAAGCCUUGGGUCUGGGAGGUAACAGUGUGGGAUUCCACCAUCUCAUCUCCCUGCCACCCAAACAUGCCUGCUCUUCUUUAAGCAAUAUUAAAUGUUUGUACUUCAGAAAAAAAAAAAAAAA
rnacentral:lncRNA from 1 species